rnacentral:rRNA from 1 species
UACAGGGGGGGGUAAGCGUUGUUCGGAAUUACUGGGCGUAAAGGGCUCGUAGGCGGCCAACUAAGUCAGACGUGAAAUCCCUCAGCUUAACUGGGGAACUGCGUCUGAUACUGGAUGGCUUGGAUUCGGGAGAGGAAUGCGGAAUUCCAGGUGUAGCGGUGAAAUGCGUAGAUAUCUGGAGGAACACCGGUGGCGAAGGCGGCAUUCUGGACCGACAUUGACGCUGAGGAGCGAAAGCCAGGGGAGCAAACGGG